CUAAUGCAUAUUCUCCAACCAGGAAUUUAUUAAAAUCUAACAAUAGGACCUCCCCCACCACUUCUUUACUUUUAUGUUCACUGUUUAAAUGUAUGCAAGUUUUAAUAUAGCCUUAAGUGUAAUCAAUAUUGAGCAUUAUAACACACAACAAAAAUUACUUGGUGGUGAUGCAUGAGAAGAAUUCCUAUGAAUUUUUUUAUUUUGAUAACUCUGAAAUAAAUAUUUUUGAAAUAACAGAUGAACUACAAUCUUACCAUGUCGCUUUGGGGCCCCCCCCCCCUUAAUAUUAACAAAAUUAGGUUUUAAGUGUUCAAGUUUAAGUUAUAACAUUUUAAUGUGUUAAAAAUUUAUUCAAUAAAAAACAUUUCAUUGAAUCACACAUAUUUGUGUGAAAAUAUGUGCCUUAUCGGUUUAGCCUUUGUUAUGCAUGUGCGAAACAAACAAUGAGGCAGUUAAACAAGUACAUAAUUAUAUUGAUUGACAGAAUUUGUGUAUUUACGAUAAAUAAGUAUUAAUUUGUUACAUCAUGAUUUAUGACAGCCGUAAUUUAAAAUUGAGAAAGUUAAAUCCUAUUUCUCUUAAUUAAAUCAGUUAAUUACUUCAAAUAGGUUGCUGCUGCUCAGGCAGCUGAGAAUGUUUGGCCGCAGGCUACAGUUAGGUACUGCAACUUCCACAGAGCGCAGUCCUGGUGGAGGAAGGUUCAAAGAGUUGGAUUAUCCGGUGAUUAUCUAAAUCCCAGGGUCCACCGGGGGGGAGAACAAUGUCGACUUGGCCACGUGAUCAGGAAAAUUGGAGUGCUCGGAUUCUUACCUCCCAAUGUUGUAGAGCAGUGUUUUUUGAACUACAGAAACACCAAUCGAGUGAGGAGGGAGCAGCACAUCCACCCUGGCCUGAAUGUGUGGAUGAACUAUGUUUGGAACAAUUAUAUCGCUCCUGGUAAGGUUAUUAUUGUUAAUCGUUUUU